rnacentral:misc_RNA from 1 species
ACAUUUCAAAAGAAUGAAUAUAAUCAAAAUGGUAGAAUAUGAUUUAUCUAGUGCCUACUGAUAAAGUAAAGAUGCAAGCCAAUAGAUCGAGUAAAACGACAAAUAGCAUGGAAUCAACUUGCAUAGGCCGUGCUAAGCAAAAUAACAGAUAGCAGCCCAAACAAACAACUAAAUCCAAUCCAUUGCCCCACUCUUUCCACAACAAA